AACAAACCACUGAUGUAAACCCCGGACAGAAACAGACUUGUUUCGCCUUCCUCACAGACACACACGCCCCUACUCCGAACCCAAGGAAAGAAUCGCUGAUCCGACUCCUUUCCGUUGCUUCCUUUUGAAGGCUCUCUCAAUCCCCGAUGUAGGAUUUUAUGGCAAAGCAGGAAGAGGUGCCACUGAAGGUGUCCGAGGAAAAGGAAAGCUGGGCACUCCUCCUCCAGCUCACCUAUGCAUGUCCCAGUGUGGGAUGAGCUUAGAGCCAGGUCUAAACACUCGAGACUGUCCAGAGGUGAGCAUAUCCUCCAACUACCCACAGGGAAGACGGGUUCCGCAAAAGGGUCCGGGGAACGUGUCUGAGCGGAGGUAAGAACAAUCCAAGAAGGUUGUGGCAGUUUCUCUGAUGCAGUGCAACAGCGACCGGUUGGAUGACUGGAUACAACAAAUGACAUGUACCACCCAAAUGGCAUUCAGUGAAAAGCAACGUUUACAGCAAAGCAUUCUAUCACUUAGUGACUAAGAAUUUUAAAAUAAACAUGCAGUUCCUUUUAAACAGAAACGGAAAAAAGAAAAAAAAAAAAAACUUCAUCAACUUACUGGCAAGGCUGUAACAUGAAAGUCCCCAUCUAUGGUUAGAUCUGAAUCCUGACGACUGCUUAUUUCAAAUCAAAGAUUCUAGAAGGAUACACGGUGCAUUCUAUUAUUUAAGGUGGAAUAAAUUAAUUGCAGGGAAAAGGAAUAUUUUGCACCUGAGAAUCGAUCAUCAGAUAGCUCCGUAUCCCUCAAGUUGAAAGAACCAAGGGUUUGCGAAACGCCUGUGCCUCCCCCGCCCCUUUUUGGCAAGGAAGUGAGAAAUCUAUGCAGAACACUACACGUCUACCUUUUAUAAUUAAUUUCCCAAUGCCUCACCUAUACGUAUUUUAAUAAUUCCUGAUUUAUAAGAUGGUAUCUGUAAUAAAAUUUUCUAUUUUCCAAUAAAUGAAAAGAAGGCAGGUUCACUCCAGCAACAGAGUGUCACGCAAUAUCUGCUUGUCAGGCACCAAUUUUUACUUCUUACAUGUAAGUUAAAGGAUAAGGAAUUUAUAAUGCUGCCUGUGAAGGGAACCACUUUUCAUACACAAAUGUGAUCUUUUUUUUUUCAAAGGGUAAUACAACAGUACAUUUACAUAAACUAAUCCAAACAAUCUAUGUAUUUGACAAUGGCAAACCUCACACAGACGGCCUAUUGUUGGUUUACAUCUUGGAGUUCUUUAUAUUGGCUUGUAGCGCUGCUCUAGCUGUCAAAGGUUUGACUUGGACACUAAAUAAAUGGUUAUAGAAGUGCUGUGCAGCGAUAUUGGACUUCUUUGCAAAAGAAAACCUGCUGUGUAUGAAUUCAAAAGCUAUUAAUUUUUCAGUCAAAAAUAUUCGUGCCUAUUUCUUUUAAUAAAGAAAUACUGUGCUGAACUACUAAGAGAUAAUGUUGACUAGUGGUAGAGAAUUUUCAAUAGAACAGUUAAAAAUAAAUUUAGUAGGAGGUCCCCUUCGAAGUUACAAUUUUCUAGAAUGUAAAACAUUUUUUUUUUUUAAAUACUAAUCAAGACAAACCUUCCUCCCCAGUGCAUUUCCCCCACAACUGCUUUUCCCUGUUUACUGGCUGCUUCACACUGGUCUUCAUGGAGAUUCCCAAGGGUCCUUUUGUGGCCUAUGCAGGCUUACCUGGAUGGAUGGCCCUCUCUGCCAACACCCUGCCCCAGCACUCACGGAGCGCCCCAUGGCGUUUCACAAAUCCUUCUCCACUUUCAUCCCUCCUCCUCCCAAGGAGCCCCAUGAUACAAAAUGAGUUCCUCCCAGAGUCCUGAGGCCAAACAGUAUUCUAUCAUUGCUUUGAAUCCAUGGAGGAAGUAGGAGAUAAUCCCAUUCUCUCCCCUAUUACUAGGUUCAAAGACCCAUACCCCUCAUCCUGGGGAAAAAGCCAUUCCAAACAGAAGCCACCUGAAGACUUCAUGAGAGUUCCGAAGGCUAUCGAUUCCCUUAGCGGUUGGCUGUGCCCACUGGAAAACCCCAUGAAGUCAUUUCCGGGUCUUACCAGCUUCCUAAACUGGGCUCCUAUGAUUACAAGAAGGGGCUGAUGAAGUCAACACAAAUGGCACAACUGACUACUCAUCCCAUUAUACCCAAUGGCCUAGGUUUUUCUGUUUCCCUUUCUUUUUGGUAGCCUACACAUUCAGUCCUAUGGCCAUUUAGUGCAAAACACGGAAACUAAGGGCUCUCUCCUAGUAAAAAUGGAUGCACAAAGUGUUUAAUGAUUUUAUGUCCUAUAUCUCAGUAAUGUGUUCUGUUUCAGACAUUAAUUUUGUCUGCCAACUGCAUCUUGGCAGGCUACCAUAUUUGCUGGGUUAAUAGUCUGACUCCGUUUUAUUUCUAUCAUCAUAAAUCAUACAUAUAUGGGUGUAUGUUUGCUUUAUUUAUAGAAAAAAAUCAGUCAAAACAGAUAAACCAAUACUUUGCCAUUACGCUGCAUCAUUGCAUAUUGAUUAAAAUUGCUGGUACUAACUAUAGAUUGUCAACGCUCAAUUAAUUUUCACACAGUGACUCCAAGCAAAAUCAAAUAAAGGCAGUGUACCUUUAAAUUUUACAAAUCUUAAAAAUCAAGAAGCAAAGCACUCUCUCCAUUUUGAAUAAUCAGUAGAAGCUACUAAGGAGAUUUUUAGAAAUAUAAGUAUAUGAGAAAUACAACUGUUAAAGAGAUCAAUUUAUAGCAAGGAAUGAGGCCCAAGACAGGAUUUGGGGUUUAGAAACCAUCCUUCUGCUUAGAUAUUAACUGUCUGUGCUCGGAUGGCACUCUUCAAGGUUAAGGAAAAGGAAACAAGGCAAGAAGUAGGAGAUUCCUACAAGUUAAACGUAAUUUCAACAUACCAUGUUGGAACUCCUAACUGCAAAAGAGUAAUAUUCACUUCUAACUCUCUAAUAACCAUUAGAUGCCGUCCACAAUUUUAGCUUCCAGCUAUUCCAACAGUGUGCUUCCUAUUUCUUAUGUCUUUCCUCUGUGACCGUUAGACUGCACUGGCCCUCACUCCCUUUCUCAUACCCGCAGUCUCUUGGCUAAUGCAGGCUGAAAUGCCCUUUUCUUCUGACUCCAUGGUCUGGCUGUCUUCUUUCUGGGUUCACACCAUUUAGAAAGACCUUUCCCCCUCCCGGCGACCUAUCAUGUUUUCGUACCCUGGUACACCAUCAAUCAUCUGUCCCGAAGAGCGAGUUGUUGGGCCUCGUGGCCAAAGACCGAUUCUGAAUCAUCCUCUACGUUGUGAAAUGCCCUGCACACCACCCCCUUUAUAGAAGGUAACCGGAAACACUCCACUGACUUAUGUCCUUCAAUACUAACAGCUGCCAGAGUAGGUUUUCCUGUCUCCUAUGCUUAGGGGUGAGGAAGCAGCAAAGAAACAGUGUGAAGUUUCCCCUGGUGUAGCUCGGUACUUACGGGCUGAGGGGCGGCUUUGGGUUCUGUUGACUUCACGUGCAGAUGGGUCAUCAUGGCUUGCAGGCGCUCUUUGUCUUUUGCAAGCUAGUAGGAAGAAAGUGCUCUGUUAUUUCUUUGAAUACAGAUGCAUUACUAUUUUAACAUCCAAAAUGAUACA